UGCUCAUAAAUCUCAAGUUUUCAAUUGUUUUAUCAAGUCAAAAGAGUGGGUGUGUACAUAUAAACUAUACUUUCCAGGGUUAUUGAAGUUUAGGAUAUGUGCAGGUAACACAUGAUAGGACGGACAUAUAACAGCUACAAAAGAAACCAAACUGUCACUCUAUAUUAAAACACUAUACAUAUAAUCACGCAAACUAUAGACAAAAAACAAAUACUUUUCAUAGCCCUGUAGAAACCUUGCGUCACUCUCUCACUCUAUAUAUGGAGUGUGCACCCA